GUUCUAAUGUCUUUCUAAGACAACAUAGAGAACAGAGCUAUAAAAGAAUGACACAUUAAAAUUCUAUCAAAUAUGGUGCUUCCAGACCAAAAAUUAUACUGUCCGAGGUUUAAGAGGGCAUUCCCAAAACUUCCAGUUACAAAACUUCCUGUUACAAAUAAAGAUGACUGCAUAAACUUACACUAUGGCAUUUCCUCCAAACAU
rnacentral:misc_RNA from 1 species